UUCGUACACCUUGAUGACCAGGUUAAAUAUUAAUUUUGACUUCACUUCACCUAUUUUUUUUAGUUAUCACGAAGGUCGAAUCAGCUUUUACAUGCCUCAACUAAAUUGUAAUAAAAUCUUUUUAUUAUCAUCAUAAAAACUUUGACCCCACUUCACCCAUUUACUUCCAAAAUCUAGGGCUUUUUCUAAAUUAAACUCAAUAAAUCAAGUUUUUUUUUUACCAAUUUUAUUUUUUUGGGGUAUUUUUCCUUUUUCUUGUUUUCCUCAACUAGGGUUUUAUCUCUUUAUUUUUUUUCUUGUGGGGUUAAUUUUUUUUUUUUUUUUUAAAGUUGAUUUUUGGGUUAAUUUUGAAGUUGUGGGGUUCUUGUUUUUUUGAAAAAAGUGAUGAUUUUUGGUGUUUAGAGUGAAAAAGAUUGAGUCUUUUUGAUGUUUUAUUAGCAGUAAAAGAAAUCAAGAAUUGGGGUGAAAAAGAUGAUUGCUGAGAAACCUAGUUGGAUUAGACAUGAGGGUAUGCAGAUUUUCUCAAUUGAUAUUCAGCCUGGUGGACUUAGGUUUGCUACUGGUGGUGGUGAUCAUAAGGUUCGUAUAUGGAACAUGAAAUGUGUGGGUAGGGACUUGGCAGCAGCAGAUGAAUUUACAUCAAAACUUCUUGCCACACUACGUGAUCAUUUUGGGUCAGUGAACUGUGUUAGAUGGGCAAAACAUGGUCGAUAUGUUGCUUCUGGCUCUGAUGAUCAGGUGAUUCAAGUCCAUGAGAGGAAACCUGGCUCCGGAACCACAGAGUUUGGCAGUGGAGAGCCUCCUGAUGUAGAGAACUGGAAAGUUACGAUGACAUUGAGAGGACACACUGCAGAUGUGGUCGAUCUAAAUUGGUCUCCAGACGACUCGAUGUUGGCUAGUGGUAGUCUGGAUAACACCAUCCAUAUCUGGAAUAUGAGCAAUGGCAUAUGCACUGCUGUUCUGAGGGGUCACUCUAGUCUUGUUAAAGGUGUCACCUGGGAUCCAAUUGGUUCAUUUAUAGCUAGUCAAUCAGAUGAUAAGACUGUCAUCAUUUGGCGAACAAGUGACUGGAGCCUUGCUCAUAGAACUGAAGGUCACUGGGCAAAAUCUCUUGGGUCAACUUUCUUUAGGCGGCUUGGAUGGUCACCCUGUGGACACUAUGUAACUACUACUCACGGUUUUCAAAAGCCUAGGCAUUCUGCUCCUGUUCUGGAGAGAGGGGAAUGGACUGCCACUUUUGACUUCUUAGGACACAAUGCUCCUGUUAUUGUUGUUAAGUUUAAUCAUUCUAUGUUUCGGAGGAAUUUGGCUAAUGCUCAGGAAGCGAAAAAUGCUUCUCUUGGAUGGUCAAAUGGUUCUGUAAAAAGUGGAGGAAAAGAGUCCCAACCCUACAAUGUUAUUGCUAUAGGAAGUCAAGAUCGCACCAUAACUGUGUGGACUACGGCAAGUCCACGUCCUCUUUUUGUUGCCAAGCAUUUCUUUUCUCAAAGUGUUGUGGAUUUGUCAUGGAGCCCUGAUGGAUAUUCUCUGUUCGCAUGUUCUUUAGAUGGAAGUGCAGCCACUUUCCAUUUUGAUGAAAAUGAACUAGGUCAUCAGCUAUCUGAAGCUGAAUUAGAGGAGUUGAAGAAAAGCCGCUAUGGUGUUGUUAGAGGUCGACAGGCAAAUUUAGCCGAAAGUCCAGCGCAACUGUUGCUUGAAGCAGCAGCUGCAAAGCAAACUUCAAGCAAAAAACUAACUGCAGACCCUGCACAAAUUCAACUAAUGGCAAAGUCUUCUGCUGAUUUGGAUAGUGUGGCGAAGGUUCCCCCACAAUCUGAUAAUGGGAAAAAGGCUGAAGGAGCUAACAGUGACCGUAUAACCAAACCCGCAGCUUCGACGCGGUUGUUAAGUCCGGUGAAGCAAAGGAUGUACAGAAGGGCUGAUGGUCGAAAGAGAAUAAUUCCAGAAGCAGUUGGUUCUCCUACCCCACAGGAAAACACCUCUGGAAUUGCUCAAUCUCCUGUCGUUGAAUUCACUAAUAUGACAGGAGAGCAGAGGAAAGAUGAGAAUGGUGUCGUACUGUCUGAUGCAAGUGUUAGAGAAGGAUUUGCAAGGAAAACAGUCAGCGUCAGUGCUGACCAAAAGGAGCGCUCAAGUGUAACUGCUAGAGCUACCAUCAGUGAGAGCCUCAUCAUUGAGAAGGUUCCUCCUUCUACAGGUAAGGAUGGAAACAUCAGCAUAGAGCAGAUGGGAGUUGUCAAAAAUCCAUCACAUUUGGGUACUAGUGGUACUCUUUUAAUCAGGGUUUUUGAUAAUAAAGAAGGGGAGGACACUGGUCCAGUUUGCUUAGAGGCUCAACCCAGGGAACAAGCUGCCAAUGAUGUUUUAGGGACUGCAAAUUCUUUUGUAAUGAAAGAAACGGAGAUACUUUGUACCAGGGGCGGUCAACCUCUCUGGUCUGACCGGAUUUCUGGAAAAGUUACUGUUUUGGCUGGAAAUGCCAAUUUUUGGGCUGUGGGAUGUGAAGAUGGCUGCGUUCAGAUUUAUACAAAAUGUGGACGACGUGCCAUGCCUACCAUGAUUAUGGGAUCUGCUGCAGUAUUUGUUGAUUGUGAUGAAUCUUGGAAGUUUAUGCUUGUCACAAGGACAGGGUCAUUACAUCUUUGGGAUCUAUUCAACCGGAAGUGUCUCCUUCAAGACUCGUUGGCGUCCCUUAUGACUUCAGAUCCCAAGGCGAAUGCAGGCACAAUCAAAGUGAUAUCAGCAAAGUUAUCAAAAUCUGGUUUUCCUCUUGUUGUCCUCGCCACACGGCAUGCAUACCUCUUCGAUAUGAGUCUCAUGUGCUGGCUGAGGGUUGCAGAUGAUAGCUUUCCGGCUUCGAAUUUUUCAAGCUCCUGGAGUUCGGGCUCAUCACAUGGCGGUGAGCUAGCGGCAUUGCAAGUGGAUGUUAAGAAGUUCCUGGCAAGAAGACCCGGCUGGAGCAGAGUCACUGAUGAUGGGAUACAAACACGUGCUCAUUUGGAGGCUCAGUUGGCUUCUGCUCUUGCUUUGAAGUCUCCUAGUGAAUAUCGUCAAUGCCUUUUAUCCUACGUUCGUUUUUUGGCAAGAGAGGCAGAUGAAUCACGCUUGAGAGAAGUUUGCGAGAACUUUCUUGGGCCUCCCACAGGGAUGGCUGAGGCUUCAUCCUCUAAGUCAAAUAAAUCUGCUUGGGACCCUUGUGUACUUGGUAUGAAAAAGCAAAGACUCCUUAGAGAAGACAUACUUCCGGCAAUGGCAUCAAAUAGAAAAGUACAGCGGCUGCUCAACGAGUUCAUGGAUCUCCUCUCAGAAUAUGAGAUACCUGACACAAAUCUUGACCAGAACAACGUCACAACGACCACAUCAACUGAAAUGAAUCUCAGACAGACCAAUGUUGCAACCACUACAGAUGAAAUGGAUACUGAUACUGAUCACCCUACGACUCAAAGAACAGCUCCCAAGACUCUAGUACCUGACCCAACACCUUCCUCGGCUGUUAAUGACCGAGAGGAUCUUGCUCCUCCUGCAUUACAAUCAACAGAUCGUGUUGAGUCUUCUACACCAUUGAAAAAUCCAAUUCAAGAAAAAACUGAUGAAGCUAAAUCUGUACCACCUCCAACAGAUCAAAUGAAUUUGGAUCCACCUGCAUCAGUUGAAUCGGAACAAUUUCCAUCAGCACACGAGAAGGUAUCUUGACAUCUAAGUUUUCGUAGAUUAGAUGUGAUAGUCACCUUAAAGUACUGCUGACACAACCACCGAUGCUGUGGACUGUAAAAAAGAUCUUCCACAUGCGGCUUCCUGGCUGGAUGUCUUCGGAUGCACCUACAAGGCAUCCAAGCAAGUACUUUGUUGAACAUAACAACAUGGUUGCCAUUUGAGUACACAUUUGUUUACUAUAUGGAUGUACAUCAGUGGUGUCAGAGGCAGACGUAAGCCCUGAAGAGAGGCACAAAAUAUGUCGAGCGCUUUGCCGCACUUGGCCGGUGCUUGAGGUCCUUUGCUUGACUCCGAGUGAAUAGUCUUGAGGGGUAGGGACUAGCAUGGGUAGCUUGACGCAUCUUUUGACCCAGGAGAGGCCUUUGGCCUUGAGAGGUUCAGUCUUUAGCUAACCAGAUGGUUAGGCUUGAUAUUUUGACCCAUCCAUGCUUGUAUCAUUCAAUGUCGUCAUCAAUGCUCUCUUGAUAUAUUUUUCCUUGCCAAUGAGCGUAAUCCUAAAGAAGCGACACUAUAUUAUUCAUUUUAACGUAAUUUUUUUCUUCUCAAGUUUUUGUAUAUAUAUUUAUUAAUCUCAAGACUACCAUGUAUAUUUGUCUUUUGUCUCCAUUGAGCACAUUGAGCACAUGCUUUUUUUGUAUUUUACGCUUAAAGCCCCAAUGGACCCAUGGCUCUUACGUCAGGCGACAAAGGUUGAGGGAGGUUGAUGGACUUAGUGACUGAGGUCUCAGGUUCGAGCCUUGAACUGCGUGAAGUAAGCCGGUAUUCAAGUGGAAAUGGGUUCACUAUAUAUUCCCAAGUUUCGAAAGGUCCUAAGGGUUGACCCAAACGAAUUUCUCUGUCAUUUUAAAAAGAAAAUACAUGGUCGGGUUCAUAGUAGAACAUACUCUGAUAUUAAUGUAGCUCUUAUUUUUUUUGACUUUAACUUUAAUACAACAACGACAUACUCAUUGUAUUCCCACAAGGUGGGGUUUGGAGA